UCAGUGACAAAGCCUACCUGUUCCAGUGGAAAGUCCUGCUCUAAGCCUUGAGUUCAACUACAGCAGAAACAACCUAUGAAACAUUCUUGGCCACAGGUAUUGAAAAGCUCUUCUGGUCCUGGGAGGAGAUGGAUUGGGAAAGAUCUCUGCCCUCAGAACCCCUGAAAGGCUGAGGAGGAGGCGGCCAGUAUGGGGAGCGUUGGUCCAGCUUCCCAUGUGUAAUGUUGGGAAAGGGCUGCCCAGAAAUGCAAAAAUGGCAGCCUAGUGUGGUUUCUGAGAACCUCCACAGGCUAUCCGAUACCUGAUAGGGACCUUGAUGAAGCCUUGGGGGAGGAGUCUGAGGAGCUGUGCAAAAGUCAAGGGUGAGACCCAGCUCAAUAAUACUCAGUAGAAACCCUAGUCGGGAGACCACUGUAGCACUGCAGUGGGGUGGGGGGACUGAGGAGGAGGGGCUCCCUGGAGAACAGCAGGAAAACCAACACAAAAGAGGCCACCCUCCCCACGUCCAGAUGUCACUGUGGCUUCUUCCUGGUGCCUAGUCACCACCUCAACAAGAAAGACGGGGAGCAAACUGCUUUAAGCUAUACAGUGAUCGAAAUAUUCCUUGAAUCAGGCCCAAAGGAAACAGAAUCCUACGACUAAGUAUACCAAAAAGGAAGCCAAAACACUCUAUCUGGGAGGCAAAAUUAAGUUCACGUUAAAACAAAACAAACAACAAAAAACAAAAAAAAAAAACAACAAAGUUGUAUCCCUUCACAAUAAGCCAGCAGCAGGAAAUGUAUCUAUUCUGAUUCGGAUGCUUCCACUGAGUCUCUGUACAACACAAACAGUAUUUCUAAGACUAUCUGCCUGGGCUGACUUCCAAGGGGAAGGCACAGAGUCUCAAGCUUGCCAAGUCAAAUGCGGGCCUACCAGGCGGUCCCAGAAAACUUAGCCCACAGGAGGGCCCCCAGGCCUUCCCACAUAGUCUCACGUUGUAGCUGAGAAGCUCUGAGAGCUGGCUGCUACGUACCAUUCCGGCUGCUGUAACAAAGUACUAGAGACUGUGUGGCUUAUAAACAACAGAAGUUUGUUGCUCACAGUUCUGGAAGUCUAAGAUCCAAGCAUCGGCUGAUCUGGUAACCAGUGAGGAUUGUUUCCUGACUCACAGAUGGUACCUCACUGUGUUCUCACACAGCCAAAGGAGGGGAGACACGCUCUAACCCCAUGUAGAAGGUACCAUAUCAUAAAACCAUCACCAUGGAGGUUAGGCUUUCAGUACAGGACUCUGGGAGCGCGCGCGCGCGCGCACACACACACACACACACACACACACACACACACACACACACGCUCAGAGUACUAUCAUUUCUCUCAUUCUCCAUAAGGGCAAACCAAGACUUCACAGCAAGAUUUGAUAAGGCCCAAGGAACCACGCUGAGUGGUGAUGCACCUAGUUCAACUAUCCUAACAGAGAGCCUACCCUGUGCCAAAUCUCAUGCACUUGCCAGGGGCUGCGAGAUGGAUACUACACUUACUGGAUAUUACACUGAUUCAAUACAUGGGAAGGACUGCUGGAGAGGCAGAGCAAACCUACAACAUCAGUUAGUCAAAGACAAAUGUCUCCAGGGUUACCAAAAAAAAAAAAAAAUCAAUGAUGUUACUAGGAAUGUUUCAUGCAACAUUUUGAAGCAUUAAAUAUGAAAAUCCAUGAGGUACAAAGUACCUCAAUUUUAAGUAAAGACAGGACCAGUCUCCCUGAUUUCUCACUCUUGUCUCAUGCUCCAAGACAAGGAAUUGCACAACGCUAGGACUGAGCCUGGAAUCCAGCCCAACUCGAGGCAGGGAAGGCAUCUUCACACCACCCCACGGAGCUGUCUCUCCACCAUUUUAUAACCUCAAAGAGCUCUUGAGGUGGCCCCAGUCCUCAGUCAUCUCAGGUGUGUGUCUGCAUGACUAAGCUCCCAAGGAACACCAGCCUGGGGAGAUUCUAUUUCGUCGUUGCUAUGUGUUUAGGUAAAUGGAAGGAAGUUCCAGCCUCCGCCAAAGGAGGGGCAUACUUUAAAAUAGUUCUGGAAGGCGCCAGGUGGGCUCCCAAUGGAUCACACGGGUGCUUGUCUCUCACUUGGAUUUUCUGGUUCAGUUCUGACGCGAUGCCAACUGUCCACCUGCAGGCCACAAGUCCAGUCACACCGCGGUCUUCCUUUCCCCUUGCAUUUCAAAAGCCAAAUGCGAGCUCAUUUGGGCAAUUACUUAAGACUCUCAGCACAUGUACACCUUUCACUGGAAGCGAAAUGACUGCUCAACAAAUAUUUGUUGAUUCAAAUUUUGAACAUUGCUAAGAUUAAACUCAGAAUCCCUUCUGGUGGCCUGUAACCUAAACCCCAGACCUGUUAAAUAAACCAUGACCCGAAGCAUAAGGAAGACAAUGUGUCCACUCGUCUCCCUCACCGUGGCCUUUGGAGACAGACACGAUUAUGCCCUGUACUAAGAAUUGAACCGCACGCAGCAAGCCCUUCUCCCCCCUGCCUCUGUUUUCUUAGUGUUAAAACUGGUUAAACUGCUCGGCUCUGCCUCACAUUUCAAAGUUAAGUCCAGCAAAGUGCUCAGAGGAAAACUUCGGGCACUUGCGCGUCUGGCUCCUCUCGGCCCCACCGGCCACGGUGUCGUGGACGUGGCCCCCACGGGGGAGGGAGGUUGGCGUGGGCCCCAGGUCCGAAGAGCCCGGGCUGUCUGGGCUCUGCCCGUCACCACCUCCCCAGCUCCAUGUGGGGACAAGACUUGGGGAACACACCAAGCCCCCGGCCCCGACUCCCUCCAACCCUGCGGGGUCUGCGCCCCACGCGCGCCGCGUGGCCACGCCAUUUCAGACCGUCCCAGAUGGACCCAACAUGAUGAGAAAGAAGAGGAGACCACCAGCAAUAUCAACCCCAGAGGUCACUGCUGCUGCUGUUUCGUUGAUGUAAGUUCUCAGCUCCUGCUCCAGCGCCAUGCCUGCCUGUCUGAUGCCAUGGUCCCUGCCACGACAGUCAUGGACUCUAAUCCUCUGAAAAUGUAAGCCCCAAUAAACUCUUUCUUCUAUAAGUUGCCUUGGUCAUGG